AGUGCUCUUUUGAUACUUGCGAAUCUCACUGAUUGUUCCAUAAUAAUGUAGGGUCUCAUAAUAUAACAAUUUAGCCAAAGAAAAAACGUCAAUUAGAGGGGAAAUGCUUUACCGAAGAGCCACAGUUCCAGGACGAUAACGAUGAGGCUUCUUCACGCCACCAGUGGUGGGAGCAGAUUUCCUAGCGGCCUAUGUGAAAACAAUUUACCAAUUUAGCAUGAAUCAGAAAUUACGAUCUCUGAGUCUCGGACUGUAUACAC
rnacentral:misc_RNA from 1 species